rnacentral:rRNA from 1 species
UACGUAGGGGGCAAGCGUUGUCCGGAUUUAUUGGGCGUAAAGCGCUCGCAGGCGGCUUGCUACGUCGUGCGUGAAACACCCCGGCUCAACUGGGGAGGGUCGUGCGAUACGGGCAGGCUGGAGGCCAGUAGGGGGAUGCGGAAUUCCGGGUGUAGUGGUGAAAUGCGUAGAUAUUAGGAGGAACACCAGUGGCGAAGGCGGCUUACUGGACUGUAACUGACACUGAGGCGCGAAAGCGUGGGGAGCAAACAGG